rnacentral:rRNA from 1 species
GAUGAACGCUGGCGGCGUGCCUAAUACAUGCAAGUAGAACGCUGAAGGAGGAGCUUGCUCUUCUGGAUGAGUUGCGAACGGGUGAGUAACGCGUAGGUAACCUGCCUGGUAGCGGGGGAUAACUAUUGGAAACGAUAGCUAAUACCGCAUAACAGUAGAUAUUGCAUGAUAUCUGCUUGAAAGGUGCAAUUGCAUCACUACCAGAUGGACCUGCGUUGUAUUAGCUAGUUGGUGAGGUAACGGCUCACCAAGGCGACGAUACAUAGCCGACCUGAGAGGGUGAUCGGCCACACUGGGACUGAGACACGGCCCAGACUCCUACGGGAGGCAGCAGUAGGGAAUCUUCGGCAAUGGACGGAAGUCUGACCGAGCAACGCCGCGUGAGUGAAGAAGGUUUUCGGAUCGUAAAGCUCUGUUGUAAGAGAAGAACGAGUGUGAGAGUGGAAAGUUCACACUGUGACGGUAUCUUACCAGAAAGGGACGGCUAACUACGUGCCAGCAGCCGCGGUAAUACGUAGGUCCCGAGCGUUAUCCGGAUUUAUUGGGCGUAAAGCGAGCGCAGGCGGUUAGAUAAGUCUGAAGUUAAAGGCUGUGGCUUAACCAUAUUACGCUUUGGAAACUGUUUAACUUGAGUGCAAGAGGGGAGAGUGGAAUUCCAUGUGUAGCGGUGAAAUGCGUAUAUAUAUGGGAGGAACACCGGUGGCGAAAGCGGUUCUCUGGCUUGUAACUGACGCUGAGGCUCGAAAGCGUGGGUGAGCAAACAGU